GACGAACGCUGGCGGCGUGCUUAACACAUGCAAGUCGAACGAAGUGGCGAACGGGUGAGUAACGCGUAAUCAACCUGCCCUUCAGGGGGUGACAACAGUUGGAAACGACUGCUACUACCGCAUACUGAAGGAGGUGAUUGCGUCGGUUUAGCUAGUUGGAGGGGUAACGGACCGACAAGGCGAGGAUAAGUAGCCGGUGUGAGAGGAAGAAGGGCCAAAUUGGGAAUGGGACACGGCCCAGACUCCUAAGGGAGGGAGGAGUGGGGAAUCUUGCGAAAUGGAGGAAAGUCUGACGGAGCAACGCCGGGUGAGUGAUGAAGGCCUUCGGGUUGUAAAGGUCUGUUAAUCGGGACGCGGUACCGGAAUAGAAAGCCACGGCUAACUACGUGCCAGCAGCCGCGGUAAUAC
rnacentral:rRNA from 1 species